rnacentral:rRNA from 1 species
AACGCUGGCGGCAUGGAUUAGGCAUGCAAGUCGAACGAAGCAGCAAUGCUUAGUGGCGCAAGGGUGAGGAACACGUGAGUGACCUACCCGCAAGUUUGGAACAGCUCCUGGAAACGGGAAUUAAUACCGGAUGUGAUCAUGAAGCUGCAUGGUUUCAUGAUUAAAGCAGCAAUGCGCUUGCGGAUGGGCUCGCGUCCCAUUAGCUAGUUGGUGAGGUAACGGCCCACCAAGGCCAUGAUGGGUAGCUGGUCUGAGAGGACGACCAGCCACACUGGGACUGAGAACUGCCCAGACUCCUACGGGAGGCUGCAGUCGAGAAUUUUGGGCAAUGGACGAAAGUCUGACCCAGCAAUGCCGCGUGCGGGAUGAAGGUCUUCGGAUUGUAAACCGCUGUUUGGAGGGACGAAAAUUGACGGUACUUCCAGAGGAAGCCACGGCUAACUACGUGCCAGCCGCCGC